AUUUGGCCUGAGAGGGUGACCGGCCACACUGGGACUGAGACACGGCCCUUACUCCUACGGGAGGCAGCAGUGGGGAAUAUUGCACAAUGGGCGCAAGCCUGAUGCAGCGACGCCGCGUGAGGGAUGAAGGCCUUCGGGUUGUAAACCUCUUUCAGUAGGGAAGAAGCCGGCUCUUUGGGGUUGGUGACGGUACCUGCAAAAGAAGCGCCGGCUAACUACGUGCCAGCAGCCGCGGUAAUACGUAGGGCGCAAGCGUUAUCCGGAAUUAUUGGGCGUAAAGAGCUCGUAGGCGGUUUGUCGCGUCUGCCGUGAAAGUCCGGGGCUUAACUCCGGAUCUGCGGUGGGUACGGG
rnacentral:rRNA from 1 species